UACGAGGGGGGCAAGCGUUGUUCGGAAUUAUUGGGCGUAAAGGGUGCGUAGGCGGUUUGACAAGUCUCAUGUGAAAUCUUCGGGCUCAACCCGAAGUCUGCAUGGGAAACUGUUGGGCUUGAGUACGGGAGAGGUGAGUGGAAUUCCGAGUGUAGAGGUGAAAUUCGUAGAUAUUCGGAAGAACACCAGUGGCGAAGGCGGCUCACUGGACCGUAACUGACGCUCAUGCCCGCUAGCGUGGGGAGCAAACAGG
rnacentral:rRNA from 1 species